rnacentral:rRNA from 1 species
UCCACGCCGUAAACGAUGUCUACUAGCUGUUCGUGGUCUUGUACUGUGAGUAGCGCAGCUAACGCACUAAGUAGACCGCCUGGGGAGUACGGUCGCAAGAUUAAAACUCAAAUGAAUUGACGGGGGCCCGCACAAGCGGUGGAGCAUGUGGUUUAAUUCGACGCAACGCGAAGAACCUUACCUACUCUUGACAUCUAGCGAAGAUUGUAGAGAUACGAUUGUGCCUUCGGGAACGCUAAGACAGGUGCUGCAUGGCUGUCGUCAGCUCGUGUUGUGAAAUGUUGGGUUAAGUCCCGCAACGAGCGCAACCCUUAUCCUUAGUUGCCAGCACGUAAUGGUGGGAACUCUAGGGAGACUGCCGGUGAUAAACCG